CCUACGGGGGGCUGCAGUGGGGGAUAUUGGACAAUGGGGGAAACCCUGAUCCAGCGACGCCGCGUGAGUGAAGAAGUAUUUCGGUAUGUAAAGCUCUGUCAGCAGGGAAGAAAGAAAUGACGGUACCUGAACAAGAAGCCCCGGCUAACUACGUGCCAGCAGCCGCGUUAAUACGUAGGGGGCAAGCGUUAUCCGGAAUUACUGGGUGUAAAGGGAGCGUAGACGGUGAGGCAAGUCUGGAGUGAAAGGCGAGGGCCCACCCCCCUGACGGCUUUGGAAACUGUGUAACUUGAGUGCAGGAGAGGUAAGUGGAAUUCCUAGUGUAGCGGUGAAAUGCGUAGAUAUUAGGAGGAACACCAGUGGCGAAGGCGGCUGACUGGACUGUAACUGACGUUGAGGCUCGAAAGCGUGGGGAGCAAACAGGAUUAGAUACCCCAGUAGUC
rnacentral:rRNA from 1 species